GCUGCAGAAAAUCAAGAAUCAGCUUUGGAUUAAAACGAAUGAUCAAAAUCGGUAGACACAGUGAAAAGUUAUGUGGUUAUAAUACAACGUAGGUCGACAAAAAAAUAAUAAAAUAAAUACGCAUUAUUAGAUAUGACUCGAAAACUACUUGUUAGAUCUCAAAUAAAUUUAAAUGGGACCAAUUGGCACACAC